UACGAAGGGUGCAAGCGUUAAUCGGAAUUACUGGGCGUAAAGGGUGCGUAGGCGGUUGUUUAAGUCUGUCGUGAAAUCCCCGGGCUCAACCUGGGAAUGGCGAUGGAUACUGGGCAGCUAGAGUGUGUCAGAGGAUGGUGGAAUUCCCGGUGUAGCGGUGAAAUGCGUAGAGAUCGGGAGGAACAUCAGUGGCGAAGGCGGCCUUCUGGACCAGUACUGACGCUCAUGCACGAAAGCGUGGGGAGCAAACAGG
rnacentral:rRNA from 1 species